GAUGAACGCUGGCGGCGUGCCUAAUACAUGCAAGUCGAGCGAACGGACGAGAAGCUUGCUUCUCUGAUGUUAGCGGCGGACGGGUGAGUAACACGUGGAUAACCUACCUAUAAGACUGGGAUAACUUCGGGAAACCGGAGCUAAUACCGGAUAAUAUUUUGAACCGCAUGGUUCAAAAGUGAAAGACGGUCUUGCUGUCACUUAUAGAUGGAUCCGCGCUGCAUUAGCUAGUUGGUAAGGUAACGGCUUACCAAGGCAACGAUGCAUAGCCGACCUGAGAGGGUGAUCGGCCACACUGGAACUGAGACACGGUCCAGACUCCUACGGGAGGCAGCAGUAGGGAAUCUUCCGCAAUGGGCGAAAGCCUGACGGAACAACGCCCCGUGAGUGAUGAAAGUCUUCGGAUCGUAAAACUCUGUUAUUAGGGAAGAACAUAUGUGUAAGUAACUGUGCACAUCUUGACGGUACCUAAUCAGAAAGCCACGGCUAACUACGUGCCAGCAGCCGCGGUAAUACGUAGGUGGCAAGCGUUAUCCGGAAUUAUUGGGCGUAAAGCGCGCGUAGGCGGUUUUUUAAGUCUGAUGUGAAAGCCCACGGCUCAAUUGUGGAGGGUCAUUGGAAACUGGAAAACUUGAGUGCAGAAGAGGAAAGUGGAAUUCCAUGUGUAGCGGUGAAAUGCGCAGGGAUAUGGAGGAACACCAGUGGCGAAGGCGACUUUCUGGUCUGUAACUGACGCUGAUGUGCGAAAGCGUGGGGAUCAAACAGGAUUAGAUACCCUGGUAGUCCACGCCGUAAACGAUGAGUGCUAAGUGUUAGGGGGUUUCCGCCCCUUAGUGCUGCAGCUAACGCAUUAAGCACUCCGCCUGGGGAGUACGACCGCAAGGUUGAAACUCAAAGGAAUUGACGGGGACCCGCACAAGCGGUGGAGCAUGUGGUUUAAUUCGAAGCAACGCGAAGAACCUUACCAAAUCUUGACAUCCUUUGACAACUCUAGAGAUAGAGCCUUCCCCUUCGGGGGACAAAGUGACAGGUGGUGCAUGGUUGUCGUCAGCUCGUGUCGUGAGAUGUUGGGUUAAGUCCCGCAACGAGCGCAACCCUUAAGCUUAGUUGCCAUCAUUAAGUUGGGCACUCUAAGUUGACUGCCGGUGACAAACCGGAGGAAGGUGGGGAUGACGUCAAAUCAUCAUGCCCCUUAUGAUUUGGGCUACACACGUGCUACAAUGGACAAUACAAAGGGCAGCGAAACCGCGAGGUCAAGCAAAUCCCAUAAAGUUGUUCUCAGUUCGGAUUGUAGUCUGCAACUCGACUACAUGAAGCUGGAAUCGCUAGUAAUCGUAGAUCAGCAUGCUACGGUGAAUACGUUCCCGGGUCU
rnacentral:rRNA from 1 species